CGCUGCACCAACUACUGCUGCACCAACUACUGCACCUUCUGGACCAGUAGUGGUUGUCAAAGCCACCAUAGUAGAAGCAUUUGUAGAAGAACUCAGUGAUCCCAAUAGCAAUCAAUUCAAAACCCUUGCUGCAAAAGUUGUAGCUGUGUAUGAUGCUGUCUACAGGACAAAAUAUGGCUUACUCUUCAUCCGCACUUAUGUCAUAAAGUUCACACGAGGCUCAACACGAGUGGAUAAUACUGAAGUGGAGGUGGGAAUUGUGUUCAAUGACACUACGUCAUCUGCAGAAAUCCCCAGCUCUGCUGAUGUUGCAACAACAUUAGUAGAAGCUGUGAACAAUACCAACAACUUCAGCAUUUCGGUGGAAUCCACCUCCAUCACAGCAGUGUCUGCACCAACUACUGCUGCACCGACUACCGCUGCACCGACUACAGCUGCACCGACUACCGCUGCACCUACUACCGCUGCACCAACUACCGCUGCACCAACUACCGCUUCCCCUACUACUACUGC